GCAAGUUAUAGCAUAUUUAUUUCUCAUUCGAUGUGACAUGAAGUAAUUCUGUUAUUAAAUAGGUUAGGAAUAUGCAAUAGGGUUUGUUAUCUCAUCUCUUUUGGAUGUGUAUAUUUCAUUUAUUUCCCAAUAAUAGCUUUGCUUGCAGAGGGAAAGAACAAAGUUGUUGUCAAAUUCGAAGUAUUUAGUCUCAACUGAAUGCAAGUGAAGUUUGUGUCACUUCUAUGCAACAUCAAACUUGCAUGUUAUCACUUUUAGUGCCUCAAGUCUCGAAUUGCUGCUUUUACAUUGCCAAUACUCGUUUUACUUUCCUUAGCAUUUGUGAUUGAUAAAUUGCUUAAUUGGUAAAAGUGCACUCUUUAUUGUUUAACUUUUAUUUCAAUCUGAUUUUGAUUGAGAUAGGUGACAACCAGC
rnacentral:misc_RNA from 1 species